UGAAAGAUAAGCUAAUAUUAAGCUAAUAGGUUCAUACCCUGUAAAUGAAAGUUAACUCUCUCUCUUUCUA
rnacentral:tRNA from 1 species